rnacentral:rRNA from 2 species
GGCAAUUGGCGGGCGGGCUACACAUGCAAGUCGAGCGGAUGAGUGGAGCUUGCUCCAUGAUUCAGCGGCGGACGGGUGAGUAAUGCCUAGGAAUCUGCCUGGUAGUGGGGGACAACGUUUCGAAAGGAACGCUAAUACCGCAUACGUCCUACGGGAGAAAGUGGGGGAUCUUCGGACCUCACGCUAUCAGAUGAGCCUAGGUCGGAUUAGCUAGUUGGUGAGGUAAAGGCUCACCAAGGCGACGAUCCGUAACUGGUCUGAGAGGAUGAUCAGUCACACUGGAACUGAGACACGGUCCAGACUCCUACGGGAGGGCAGCAGUAUA